rnacentral:rRNA from 1 species
ACCCGCUGAACUUAAGCAUAUCAAUAAGCGGAGGAAAAGAAACCAACAGGGAUUGCCCUAGUAACGGCGAGUGAAGCGGCAACAGCUCAAAUUUGAAAUCUGGCGUCUUUGGCGUCCGAGUUGUAAUUUGCAGAGGGCGCUUUGGCAUUGGCAGCGGUCCAAGUUCCUUGGAACAGGACGUCACAGAGGGUGAGAAUCCCGUACGUGGUCGCUAGCCUUUACCGUGUAAAGCCCCUUCGACGAGUCGAGUUGUUUGGGAAUGCAGCUCUAAAUGGGAGGUAAAUUUCUUCUAAAGCUAAAUACUGGCCAGAGACCGAUAGCGCACAAGUAGAGUGAUCGAAAGAUGAAAAGCACUUUGGAAAGAGAGUUAAAAAGCACGUGAAAUUGUUGAAAGGGAAGCGCUUGCAGCCAGACUUGCCUGUAGUUGCUCAUCCGGGUUUCUACCCGGUGCACUCUUCUAUAGGCAGGCCAGCAUCAGUUUGGGCGGUUGGAUAAAGGUCUCUGUCAUGUACCUCUCUUCGGGGAGAACUUAUAGGGGAGACGACAUGCAACCAGCCCGGACUGAGGUCCGCGCAUCUGCUAGGAUGCUGGCGUAAUGGCUGU